CCUACGGGGGGCAGCAGUGAGGAAUAUUGGUCAAUGGACGAGAGUCUGAACCAGCCAAGUAGCGUGAAGGAUGACUGCCCUAUGGGUUGUAAACUUCUUUUAUAAAGGAAUAAAACGAGGCACGUGUGCCUUUUUGCAUGUACUUUAUGAAUAAGGAUCGGCUAACUCCGUGCCAGCAGCCGCGGUAAUACGGGGGAUCCGAGCGUUAUCCGGAUUUAUUGGGUUUAAAGGGAGCGUAGAUGGGUUGUAAAGUCAGCGGUAAAAUUUCGGGGCUCAACCCCGGCGUGCCGUUGAAACUGGGGGUCUUGAGUGAGCGAGAAGUAGGCGGAAUGCGUGGUGUAGCGGUGAAAUGCAUAGAUAUCACGAAGAACUCCGAUUGCGAAGGCAGCAUACCGGAGCUCAACUGACGCUCAUGCACGAAAGCGUGGGUAUCGAACAGGAUUAGAUACCCCAGUAGUC
rnacentral:rRNA from 1 species